AUUGAACGCUGGCGGCAUGCCUAACACAUGCAAGUCGAGCGGAUGAAGGGAGCUUGCUCCUGGAUUCAGCGGCGGACGGGUGAGUAAUGCCUAGGAAUCUGCCUGGUAGUGGGGGAUAACGUCCGCAAACGGGCGCUAAUACCGCAUACGUCCUGAGGGUGAAAGUGGGGGAUCUUCGGACCUCACGCUAUCAGAUGAGCCUAGGUCGGAUUAGCUAGUUGGUUGGGUAAAGGCCUACCAAGGCGACGAUCCGUAACUGGUCUGAGAGGAUGAUCAGUCACACUGGAACUGAAACGCGGACCAGACUCCUACGGGAGGCAGCAGUGGGGAAUAUUGGACAAUGGGCGAAAGCAUGAUCCAGCCAUGCCGAGUGUGUGAAGAAGGUCUUCGGAUUGUAAAGCACUUUAAGUUGGGAGAAAGGGCAGUAAGUUAAUACCUUGCUGUAUUGACGUUAACAGCUAAAUAAGCACCGGCUAACUUCGUG
rnacentral:rRNA from 1 species